rnacentral:rRNA from 1 species
CCUACGGGUGGCAGCAGUGGGGAAUAUUGCGCAAUGGGGGCAACCCUGAUGCAGCAACGCCGCGUGAGUGAAGAAGGCCUUCGGUAUGUAAAGCUCUUUCAUCAGGGACGAAUUUGGACGGUACCCGAUUAAUAAGCCCCGGCUACCUACGUGCCAGCAGCCGCGGUAAUACGUAGGGACCAAGCGUUAUCCGGAUUUACUGGGUGUAAGGGGCGCGUAGGCGGGCAUGCAAGACAGAAGUGAAAUCUCAGGGCUCAACCCCGAAACUGCUUUUGAAACUGCGUGUCUGGAGUGAUGGAGAGGUAGGCGGAAUUCCCAGUGUAGCGGUGAAAUGCGUAGAUAUUGGGAGGAACACCAGUGGCGAAGGCGGCCUGCUGGACAGUAACUGACGCUGAGGCGCGAAAGCGUGGGGAGCAAACAGGAUUAGAUACCCCAGUAGUC